AGAGUUUGAUCCUGGCUCAGAUUGAACGCUGGCGGCAUGCCUUACACAUGCAAGUCGAACGGCAGCACGGGUGCUUGCACCUGGUGGCGAGUGGCGAACGGGUGAGUAAAGCAUCGGAACGUACCUAGAAGUGGGGGAUAACGUAGCGAAAGUUACGCUAAUACCGCAUAUUCUCUGAGGAGGAAAGCGGGGGAUCGCAAGACCUCGCGCGAUUGGAGCGGCCGAUGUCGGAUUAGCUAGUUGGUGAGGUAAAGGCUCACCAAGGCGACGAUCCGUAGCUGGUCUGAGAGGACGACCAGCCACACUGGGACUGAGACACGGCCCAGACUCCUACGGGAGGCAGCAGUGGGGAAUUUUGGACAAUGGGGGCAACCCUGAUCCAGCCAUUCCGCGUGAGUGAAGAAGGCCUUCGGGUUGUAAAGCUCUUUCGGCAGGAACGAAACGGUGCAGGUUAAUACCCUGUAUCAAUGACGGUACCUGAAGAAGAAGCACCGGCUAACUACGUGCCAGCAGCCGCGGUAAUGCGUAGGGUGCGAGCGUUAAUCGGAAUUACUGGGCGUAAAGCGUGCGCAGGCGGCUUUGUAGGACAGGUGUGAAAUCCCCGGGCUUAACCUGGGAACUGCGCUUGUGACUGCAAGGCUUGAGUGUGGCAGAGGGGGGUGGAAUUCCACGUGUAGCAGUGAAAUGCGUAGAGAUGUGGAGGAACACCGAUGGCGAAGGCAGCCCCCUGGGUCAACACUGACGCUCAUGCACGAAAGCGUGGGUAGCAAACAGGAUUAGAUACCCUGGUAGUCC
rnacentral:rRNA from 1 species